AUUGAACGCUGGCGGCAGGCUUAACACAUGCAAGUCGAGCGGGGGAAGGUAGCUUGCUACCGGACCUAGCGGCGGACGGGUGAGUAAUGCUUAGGAAUCUGCCUAUUAGUGGGGGACAACAUCUCGAAAGGGAUGCUAAUACCGCAUACGUCCUACGGGAGAAAGCAGGGGAUCUUCGGACCUCGCGCUAAUAGAUGAGCCUAAGUCGGAUUAGCUAGUUGGUGGGGUAAAGGCCUACCAAGGCGACGAUCUGUAGCGGGUCUGAGAGGAUGAUCCGCCACAUUGGGACUGAGACACGGCCCAGACUCCUACGGGAGGCAGCAGUGGGGAAUAUUGGACAAUGGGGGGAACCCUGAUCCAGCCAUGCCGCGUGUGUGAAGAAGGCCUUAUGGUUGUAAAGCACUUUAAGCGAGGAGGAGGCUACUCUAGUUAAUACCUAGGGAUAGUGGACGUUACUCGCAGAAUAAGCACCGGCUAACUCUGUGCCAGCAGCCGCCGUAAAAC
rnacentral:rRNA from 1 species